CAAGCGGUGGAGCAUAGUGGUUUAAUUCGAUGAUACGCGAGGAACCUUACCUGGGCUCGAACGUAAGAUGACUGUAGGUGAAAGCUUACAUCUCUUCGGAGCAUUUUACGAGGUGCUGCAUGGUUGUCGUCAGCUCGUGCCGUGAGGUGUCGGGUUAAGUCCCAUAACGAGCGCAACCCCUACCUUUAGUUGCCAUCAGGUAAUGCUGGGGACUCUAAAGGAACUGCCUACGCAAGUAGUGAGGAAGGCGGGGAUGACGUCAAAUCAGCACGGCCCUUACGUCCAGGGCUACACACGUGCUACAAUGGCCGAUACAGAGGGCAGCUACCUGGUGACAGGAUGCAAAUCUCCAAAGUCGGUCUCAGUUCGGAUCGGAGUCUGCAACCCGACUCCGUGAAGUUGGAUUCGCUAGUAAUCGCGCAUCAGCCAUGGCGCGGUGAAUACGUUCCCGGGCCUU
rnacentral:rRNA from 1 species